rnacentral:rRNA from 1 species
ACGUAGGAGGCGAGCGUUAUCCGGAUUCACUGGGAUUAAAGGGUGCGUAGGUGGGUGUAUAAGUCAGUGGUGAAAUCCCCGAGCUUAACUUGGGAACUGCCGUUGAUACUAUAUAUCUUGAAUAUCGUAGAGGUAAGCGGAAUAUGUCAUGUAGCGGUGAAAUGCUUAGAGAUGACAUAGAACACCAAUUGCGAAGGCAGCUUGCUAUGCGAUUAUUGACACUGAGGCACGAAAGCGUGGGUAGCAAACAG